rnacentral:rRNA from 1 species
AAUAGAUACCCAGGUAGUCCACGCCGUAAACGAUGAGUGCUAAGUGUUAGGGGGUUUCCGCCCCUUAGUGCUGCAGCUAACGCAUUAAGCACUCCGCCCGGGGAGUACGGUCGCAAGACUGAAACUCAAAGGAAUUGACGGGGGCCCGCACAAGCGGUGGAGCAUGUGGUUUAAUUCGAAGCAACGCGAAGAACCUUACCAGGUCUUGACAUCCCAUUGACCACUAUGGAGACAUAGUUUUCCCUUCGGGGACAACGGUGACAGGUGGUGCAUGGUUGUCGUCAGCUCGUGUCGUGAGAUGUUGGGUUAAGUCCCGCAACGAGCGCAACCCUUGUUCUUAGUUGCCAUCAUUUAGUUGGGCACUCUAAGGAGACUGCCGGUGACAAACCGGAGGAAGGUGGGGAUGACGUCAAAUCAUCAUGCCCCUUAUGACCUGGGCUACACACGUGCUACAAUGGACGGUACAAACGGUUGCCAACCCGCGAGGGGGAGCUAAUCCGAUAAAACCGUUCUCAGUUCGGAUUGUAGGCUGCAACUCGCCUACA